AAGAUUGUUGUUGCAACAAACAUUGCAGAAUCAUGGAUGGUGGUUCCUGGUAUAAAAAUUGUCAUUGAUUCAGGAAUGAAGAUGGAGGCCUCUUUUUAUCCAUUAAAUAACAUGACAACAUUAGAAGCACAACUUGUAAACCAGAAUUCAGCCAAACAACGAGCUAGCAGGGCAGGUCUGACUGGUCCAGGUAAAUGCUACUGCCUCUUCACAAAAUAUGAUUACAACAAAA